GCUUACGGCCAUACCAGCCUGGGUACGCUCGUCUGAUCUCGGAAGCUAAGCAGGGUCGGGCCUGGUUAGUACUUGGAUGGGAGACCGCCUGGGAAUACCAGGUGCUGUAAGCA
rnacentral:rRNA from 1 species